rnacentral:rRNA from 1 species
AUACGGAGGGUGCAAGCGUUACUGGGAAUCACUGGGCGUAAAGCGCGCGCAGGCGGGCUGAUAAGUUGGAUGUGAAAGCCUACGGCUCAACCGUAGAACUGCAUCCAAAACUGUCAGUCUAGAGUCUGGGAGGGGAAGAUGGAAUUAGUUGUGUAGGGGUAAAAUCCGUAGAGAUAACUAGGAAUACCAAAAGCGAAGGCGAUCUUCUGGAACAGUACUGACGCUGAGGCGCGAAAGCGUGGGGAGUAAACAGGAUUAGAAACCCUAGUAGUCC